rnacentral:rRNA from 1 species
UACAGAGGUCUCAAGCGUUGUUCGGAUUCAUUGGGCGUAAAGGGUGCGUAGGCGGCGCGGUAAGUCGGGUGUGAAAUCUCGGAGCUUAACUCCGAAACUGCAUUCGAUACUGCCGUGCUUGAGGACUGGAGAGGAGACUGGAAUUCAUGGUGUAGCAGCGAAAUGCGUAGAGAUCAUGAGGAAGACCAGUGGCGAAGGCGGGUCUCUGGACAGUUCCUGACACUGAGGCACGAAGGCCAGGGGAGCAAACGGG